CGCUUCSUGCGGAUGGCGGUCGUGACUUUUAACGCAAAAGUCGUGCACGCCGGAGUGCGUCCUCUACACAUAAAAUCCAUCUCACCCUUUUGUGCACCACCGCGUGGGCACCCUUCGGGAUCAAACCGAUCCAGGAAGGGGGCUUGCGUUUUCAUACAAACCCCUUUUUAAAAGUGUAGAAUGACCCCAUUUUUUGCGAUAACACGCAAUCAAUACAACUUUCAACAACGGAUCUCUUGGCUCUCGCAUCGAUGAAGAACGCAGCGAAAUGCGAUACGUAAUGUGAAUUGCAGAAUUCAGUGAAUCAUCGAAUCUUUGAACGCACCUUGCGCCCCUUGGUAUUCCGAGGGGCACACCCGUUUGAGUGUCGUGAAAAUCUCAACCUUCUCGGUUUCUUCUGGAAACCAAAGGAGGCUUGGACUUUGGAGGCCUUUGCUGGCGUCUCUCUCUUUUGAGAGCCCAGCUCCUCUUAAAUGAAUUAGCGGGGUCCUCUUUGCUGGUCCUCGACAUGUGAUAAGAUGUUUCCAUGUCUUGGUUUCUGGCUCUGUUGCUUUUGGGACCCGCUUCUAACCGUCUCUACGAGACAACGUUUGAGCACGUCUCCCGACGCUCUCAACCUCACGAACCCUUGACCUCAAAUCGGGUGAGACUACCGUCCGCUAAGG
rnacentral:rRNA from 1 species